rnacentral:misc_RNA from 1 species
GAUGAAGAACGUAUCGAAAUGCGAUAAGUAAUGUGAAUUGCAGAAUUCAGUGAAUCAUCGAAUCUUUGAACGCACAUUGCGCCCGCCAGUAUUCUGGCGGGCAUGCCUGUUCGAGCGUCAUUACAACCCUCAGGCCCCCGGGCCUGGCGUUGGGGAUCGGCGGAGCCCCCGUGGGCACACGCCGUCCCCCAAAUGCAGUGGCGGUCCCGCCGCAGCUUCCAUCGCGUAGUAGCUAACACCUCGCGACUGGAGAGCGGCGCGGCCACGCCGUAAAACACCCAACUCUUCUGAAGUUGACCUCGAAUCAGGUAGGAAUACCCGCUGAACUUAAGCAUAUCAAUAAGCGGAGGA